rnacentral:lncRNA from 1 species
GGUGGCUCACGCCUGUAAUCCCAACACUUUAGGAGACCGAGGCAGGCGGCUCACAAGGUCAGGAGAUCGAGACCAUCCUGGCUAAUACGGUGAAACCCCGUCUCUACUAAAAAUACAAAAAAUUAGCUGGGCACGGUGGCGGGGGCCUGUAGUCCCAGCUACUCAGGAGGCUGAGGCAGGAGAAUGGCGUGAACCCCGGAGGCGAAGCUUGCAGUGAGCCAAGAUCGCCAAGAUCACGCCACUGCACUCUAGCCUGGGCGACAGAGGGAGACUCCGUCUCAAAAAAAAAAAGAGAGAAACUGCCCCUGCUACAACAAUCAGUGUCCCCCUUAUAGACCUUUGGUGCCCUCAAAGGAUUCUCCAGUUAUGUGUGCAGAGACACUCAGUCCCCAAUAGAAGCAGAGAACAGGACCAGAAUGAUGUACUCAGAUCCACAGAGACCACAGUACAACAGCAACAUGAUGGAGAGGCACAGCUCCCCACAGGGUUCUUCACCCCCACACCUCUCCCCGCCCUCUCUCUCACCUCCACACCAUGACAGGUCUCACUCUGUCAUCCAGGCUGGAGUGCGGUGGCACGAUCUCGGCUCACUGCAACCUUCGCCUUCCGGGCUCAAGCGAUCCUCUCCCACCUGUCUCCCGAGUAGCUGGGACCACAGGCAUGCACCACCACACCCAGGUAAUUUUUUGUAUUUUUGGUAGAGAGAGAGUUUUGACAUGUUGCCCAGACUGGUCUCAAACUCCUGAGCUCAAGCGAUCCACCCCCACCCCCCUUGGUCUCCCAAAGUGCUGGGAUUACAGGCGUGAGCCACCUCACCCAGCUCCCAUAUUCUUAAAAAAAAAAAAAACUAUAAGAUAUUCACACACCACCCCAUAUACUGUGCAGUCAGGAAGAGAGGUUCUGAAAACAGGAAGUCAGGAGGCACAUCCUGAGGUGCCCAAGAGUUUCCUGGCACUGACCUUGGUGACCGAAGUAGUGUGUUUUGAGGGUGGGGGAAGCCACAGGACAGUCUGGCACACAAGGAAGACAACUCAUGGCAGAAUAAUAAUAAUUAUUAUAAUAACAGUAUCAUACAUCAAGGACAAACCCAGCUGCCCCAAGCCUACUGCAAAAUCUGUAUGUACAGUAUAGUCUAUGUGGGUGGGGUACAGGGCUGCCUGCCUGCACCCUCAGGCCUUACUCAUACCAGCUUCCUGAGGAGGGGCCAGCCCCUCCUCUUGCCCCUGUUGAAGCUUGGCACAGGCUGGGGAGGCUGGCACUGCCAACGCCAUCCCUCCAUGUUGGGCAAGCCUGUUCCAAGGGGCUGGACUCACCUCCCCCAUUGUGGCCUGGCUGCAAGGGAUUGGGGGUGAGCUUGUUGAGGGACAAGGCGGUGGCAGCUGUGGGGUGUGUCUCAUCUGAGUCCCCUUUCCACCCCUACCAGCUCUUCCUGCGGGCCUGCCCAUGGCAGGAAGGGGCCAGGGACACUCAUGGCACAGACAGGGCAUGCAGAGCGGACCCAUGGCAUGCUCGGCCCGCCGGGUGCCAUGCAGCUGUCCUGGACUGUUGGGUAGCUGUCAGAGGGCUGAGUCGGUGGUGGAGUUCAAGGAUCCCCCGAUGGGCUGGGCUGCUGAUUCGGUCUGUGGUGGGGUCUCCUGGGAGCUGGACCCUUGGGCGGGCAGCUGCAGAAAUUCUGGAAGUACCAGGUCCUCUUUCCUCAGAAGGCCCCUCUGGUCGUGGGCCCCGCUGCUCUGCACCCGGUUCAGCAGCUCCACCAGGCCUGGAGGCAAGCCACAGCAUGAGGGUUCCCCCCGGCAGACCUGCCUAUAUGCCAGCCCACAAUAGUCCCGCUGCCUUACUGUGGCCACUGCCUCCCUGGCCCCAGCACCAAUGGCCUGUGGCCCCCUGUUCCAGCCCCUUUGACCCCCCAACCCCCAUCCUUCCUGUUCCAUGCCCAGUGGCACCCAGCCCCCUGCCUUAGCUCAAGGCUCUCUGAUGCCACCCUGAAUGGUCCCCAACCCCACUGCCCUAGUCUUUCUGAUCCCCAGCUCAUCCACCAUGUACCUUCGAUGUCACAGGUCUGCCGCUUUCCAGUGGCACUACUGGGCACCUUCACCAGAGAACUGGGGGACGCUGGAGGGGGAUGGGUGGCCUUGUCCUGAGUUCUAGGUGGGCAGCCCUGCGAGAAUACGGGGUCAGAGCCAAAAUCGGGAGAGGAGAAGCAGAGGGUGGAAGAGGCCACUCGCCUUUCGCUCACCUGGCUGCGGCAGGGAGAUUUGUCACGGGCUUUGGAGAUCUUCACACCUGCAGCAGAGAGGGCCACAGUUAGUGUUUGCCUCCCACCUGGACCCCCUUCCUCCUGGGCCACAGCUGUUCCAGAUCAAGCCCCGAGGCCAGCGUCCCCUACCUGGAAGAGUGUCCAAAACCAGUCUCUGGGCCGCCACCGAGCUCACUAGCUUCCCCAGAUCCAGAGGCUGUUUCUCGCCGGGCUGUGGGGAGAGGUCAGCAGCCCGCGGUACAGGCCUCCGCCCGGCCCCGCCCCGCCCCGCCCCGCCUCGCCUCGCCCCGCCCCGCGGCCCGGCAGCUCACCCGGUGCAGCGCCACCUCUAGCGGGCUCAAGCCGUGCUUCUCCAGAAUGGGCUGCAGCGCCUCCUGCAGCCGCUUGGUGGGCUUGGCUGAGAUUCGUACCACGCGCUCCAGUGCCGUCAGCUCCAGCCUGCGAGGAACCCUCGGGCAGCAGAGGGCCGGAGGGCCGGAGGGCCGGCCCCCCGCCAAACCCUUCCCAGGACAAACCCGAGGGGGUGGAGCUUGAACUGCAGAAGGUGGGACAGGCUUGUAGGGGGCGGGGUUUGUCCCAGGGGCGGGGCUAGCACGAGGGGCGGGGCCUGGGGAGCCAGGUAGCUAGAACAGGGCCUGAAGGGAGCGUCAGGACCUGGGACCCAGACUUGGGGGCAGGACACUCACUCGAAGGUGAUCCUGUUUUCCAGCCGCACUUCCUGAUCCGCCAGCACGGUGCAGUCCUGAUCCAGGACCAGGGCCUUCUGUGGAUGCCAGGCAGGGUCUAAGAGUCCCUCCCGCAACCCCCAGCCAUCCCUGUGGGUCUGAGAACAACUUCACGCCCUCCCAUGGCCACCACUGGGCUUCCUAGAGGAAGGGAUGGAGGGUGGAAGAGCUGUAGGGGAGCAAAUGGGUUAAGGUACCAAGCUGGAGUCCAAGCCCAGGAAAGCCAAGGCCAGGGAGAAAAGUGGCAAGAAUGCUGGACAUUCUUAGGAAAGGACAGAAAUUACGAGAAACGUAGCUGCUGGCAUGAAAUGAUAAGGGGCAGGCCUAGAUCCGGGAUCUCUGGCCUACUCUUUCUGUGCCAGGACAGGCUCUGCCUCCAGGACAGCUGUCUCAUGUCCCUCAGGUGUGUGAAAUCCGACCAGACCAGCUGGAAGCAUUUCCUCCCUCACCACCCACCUUUGACCAACCACCCUGGCCUGGUCCCAUUUUUGACAUUUGUCCACUUCUGUCCAUUCCCCGCUACUAAGGACACUUCUCGUUUCCUCAUUCAAAAAGGGCCCACCCUCAAAACUGCUGUGAAACCAGAGGAUGUGAAGCAUCUGGCACAAUGCCUGGCACACAGUAGGUACAUAAACAGUAACUCUCGUGAUGACCACCUUCAGAGGCCCCACUGCUUGCUCCAGCCUGAUGUGGGGGUUGGGGGCAGCAUCUCCCAGGCAGUAGGCUUAUGCUGUGCUGCAGGAGCAGGUGGAGUGUGGGUGAGGAAGUUAUAUUUAGCAUGUAUGAAAGCCCAUCUGGGCUGCUGGCAGCCGCCCUAGCGGCCUGAGAAGAGUGGGCAGAAUGCCUCCCACUACUGUCCUCGCACCCCUGCACUCCAGGCCCCUGAACAUGCCCCGCAAGUACCCACCUGCAAGCCUUUGCCUAAGCUGUUCCCUCUGCCUGGAAUAUCCUCCCCCACAGCUCUGCCCAUCCACAUCUACUGCUGCUUCUUUCAUGAAGCCUUCCGGACACCAGCCAGAAAUGCCUACCCUCUCCCAAGAGACCUUCUCUGGAGUUUUCACUCUUCCUCCUCCCUGAUCACUCCCUGCUUGGCUUACUUUCAGCCUGUGGGCCAGGAGGACAGCCCCAGAUCUAGGUUCCUCUCCCCAACACACCUGGCACGGCCUUAGGACUUGUCUACUAGGUAAAUGAAAUCCCGAUGGCCCCCUGGAAGGUAGCAUUCUUCCUUGAGAUUCCCCUGACUGAAUGGUUUCCUUUAAAGCCAGUUUUCCCCUAGGUCUUCUUUAAAGUUUAAGCUAGUUUGCACCUAAAGGAAAAAGUUCAUUGGUUAGGUGCAGUUGGGUGCCCCUAGAGGCUAAGGAGGUGAGGGCACCCCACGGAUGGCCAUUUCCAGGAUGGGUCUGUGGGGAUGGGAAUCUGGACUCUGGGAACGAUGAGGGGCAAACCCCAGCUCCAACAGUGGUUCUCUCCAGUUUUACCUCCCUAAGAUCACCACAAUAGGAUGAUGGAUGAAGGUGGAAACCUGGAAGGACAUGAGGUGGGGGGUGGGUGGAUGUCUGAGUGAGUGAAAGUUGGUGCUGAGGGUGCUUUGGAGUUGGGUUUAGAACUUGAAUUGGGGUUGGAGCCAUGACUGAGCAGAGACAGAAAUGGAGUUGGGGUCAGGAUCAGGAAGGAGGUUAGAGUUGGAGCCAGGUCAGGUUCCCACCUGUUCAUUGCCCACCAGGUAGACCUUGAUGUCAGGUAGAGAGAGGCCUCGUUUCUCACAGAUCCCUGCCAGCAUGUCUCGGAUGGUGAGGCCAGGUCUGGCCAGGGCCAAGGAGGCUGUGCCGUCGGGCAGGUACACACAGCAGUACUUCCCUGGCCGGCUUUCACUUUCACCCUCCGUGCUCCCAAGGCUCUUCCGGUGGCUCUGAUUCAGGGCAGGAGUGGGGGAGAUUAUGUGUACACAUGCAAGGGCAUGCACACAGGUACACAGAGAUAGGUAAGCUUGCUGGGGCUCAAGCAUGCACACGCACUCCCAAGGCAGGCAAAGAUACGUCCUCCUGCAGGAACACAUGUAUGCACACCCAGGCAUAUGGGCACCUAGAGACGGGUCCACCCGCUGAUUCCCACACACGUGCUGUGUAUACACACCUGGGCGCUGCACAUGUGCACACAUUUGCCAACUGAGGAUGUGUACCCAUGACAUAUAUGGGGACCAAUAUAGUGAGACAAGUAAGGAGGCUGAAGGGUUGGCUACGCAGAGAAAGCUGGGAGACGCAGUAAGGACAGCAACUUGGAAUGAGGGCCACCACGUAAAUGGGCCUGAGUAGUGACUCUAGCCCAUAGAGCAUCUUGCCUUCCCCAACAGUCGGCUCACCUCAGAUUUGCUGCUGACGAAGGCUAGGAAGCCAAGGUCCAGGCUGGCGGAGGAGUUGAGGGAGCCCUGAGACUCUCGGCGCAAGGCGGCGUUUGCAGUCCCGCCCAGCUCUAGUGAAGAGGAAGCGAUGAACGCGAACAGCCCCCCGCCCUCACCCAUCCUCUGCGGAAGCCUGUUCCCCACUGGUGGGCCUUGUUUGGAGCCAUCCUGCAGGGGCCCAGGUGUAAAUCCCUGGGAGCGACACCACCGUUGGAGAUUUCCAAACGUCUGAGGUCUAGCCCAAGACCCGAACCACCCAGGGGAGUGUGGUGGUCACUGGGACCUGCGUUUCAAUUUUCACAGACUUACAGACUGUGGGCCACGUAGGAGGAAGGGGGCACUCCCCAAAUUUAACCAAACUCCCGCCUUCCCCACAUCUCUGUUGCUCGCUCCUGCCCUCACCCCGGCGGAAGGACUUGCGGAGAGGGCGGCCCCCGGGACCCUCAACGGGUGGCAGCUGCCCCAACUCCUCCACACCCAGCGGCAGCGACUUCCCGGGCUUCAGCUUCGGCUUCUGUGGGUACAGGGGAGGCGCUGGCACCGGGCUGGGCCCCAGCCCGCCUGCAGACCGUGGGCACAGACCCGCAGAUCUGCACCCGGGGGCGUCCCCUCUUGCACGCGGUCCGCAGGACCCCCUGCCUCGCCCAGUCCAUCGCCCAGUCCCACGCACCUUCCUCGUGGCGUCAGGGCUGCCGAGGCGCGAGGAGCCAGGUUCCCGCAGAGGGCGUCCCUCGGCUUCGGCUAGCAGGCACUCGCGGUACAGCGGGGACUUGACGAAGCGCGCAUAGCUGUCGAACUUCAUCAAGUUGAAGAUCUGCGGGGCGACCCCGGAACAGGCCAAUCCCCCCAGGAUCGCCCACCUGAAGCUGCUGUGCCCGAAACAUGUCCGGCCGGGGCUCGGCCAGCACCUCCUCGCCAAGCCAGGCCUGACGGUCGAUGUUCACUGGGCUCAGCGCCUGGCUGGACAGGAACUCCUGGUAGAUGUUGC